rnacentral:rRNA from 1 species
CCUACGGGAUGCAGCAGUGAGGAAUAUUAGUCAAUGGGCGCGAGCCUGAACCAGCCAAGUCGCGUGAAGGAUGACUGCCCUACGGGUUGUAACCUUCUUUUAUACAGGGAUAUAGUGAGGCCCGUGUGCCUUUUUGUAUGUCCUUUAUGAAUAAGGACCGGCUAACUCCGUGCCAGCAGCCGCGGUAAUACGGAGAAUCCGACCGUUAUCCGGAUUUAUUGGGUUUAAAGGGAUCGUAGAUGGGGGGUUAGGUCAGUUGGGAAAGUUGGCGGCUCACACGGAAAAGUGCAAUUGAUACUGGGAGGCUGGAGUACAGUUGAGGUAGGCGGAAGUCGUGGUGUAGCGGUGAAAUGCAUAGAUAUCACGAAGAACUCCGAUUGCGAAGGCAGCUUACGAAACUGCCACUGACACUGAUGCUCGAAAGUGUGGGUAUCAAACAGGAUUAGAUACCCGAGUAGUC